GUCUGCACGCGCGCUACAAUGAAAGUAGCACCGUGUAUUUCCUAGACCGAGAGGUCCGGGUAAACCGCUGAACCACUUUCAUGCUUGGGAUUGUGAACUGAAACUGUUCACAUGAACUUGGAAUUCCCAUGUAAGUGUGAGUCAUUAACUCACAUUGAUUACGUCCCUGCCCUUAGUGCACACCGCCCGUCGCUACUACCGAUUGAAUUAUUAAUUGAGGUCUCCGGACGUGAUCACUGUGACGCCUAGUGUGUUGCGGUUGUUUCCCAAAAGAUGACCGAACUUGAUUAUUUAGAGGAAGUAAAAGUCCUAACAAGGUUUCCGUAUGUGAACCUGCGGAAGGAUCAUUA
rnacentral:ncRNA from 1 species